rnacentral:rRNA from 1 species
GAUGAACGCUGGCGGCGUGCCUAAUACAUGCAAGUCGAGCGAAUGGAUUGAGAGCUUGCUCUUAUGAAGUUAGCGGCGGACGGGUGAGUAACACGUGGGUAACCUGCCCAUAAGACUGGGACAACUCCGGGAAACCGGGGCUAAUACCGGAUAACAUUUUGAACCGCAUGGCUCGAAAUUGAAAGGCGGCUUCGGCUGGCACUUAUGGAUGGACCCGCGUCGCAUUAGCUAGUUGGUGAGGUAACGGCUCACCAAGGCAACGAUGCGUAGCCGACCUGAGAGGGUGAUCGGCCACACUGGGACUGAGACACGGCCAAGACUCCUACGGGAGGCAGCAGUAGGGAAUCUUCCGCAAUGGACAGAAGUCUGACGGAGCAACGCCGCGUGAGUGAUGAAGGCUUUCGGGUCGUAAAACUCUGUUGUUAGGGAAGAACAAGUGCUAGUUGAAUAAGCUGGCACCUUGACGGUACCUAACCAGAAAGCCACGGCUAACUACGUGCCAGCAGCCGCCGUAA